rnacentral:snRNA from 1 species
CAUUUGGCAUCAUGUUGUCCUGACAUUGGAAGGAUGCAAAGAAGAUUACUAGCAUGGCCCCUGACCAAGGAUGGUAUGCAACUUAUAAAUCAUGUGACAUUGAAA